CACGUAGGGGGCAAGCGUUGUCCGGAAUCAUUGGGCGUAAAGAGCUCGUAGGCGGCUCAGUAAGUCGGGUGUGAAACCCUCAGGCUCAACCUGGGGACGCCACCCGAUACUGCUGUGGCUAGAGUCCAGUAGGGGAGUGUGGAAUUCCCGGUGUAGCGGUGAAAUGCGCAGAUAUCGGGAGGAACACCAGCGGCGAAGGCGGCACUCUGGGCUGGUACUGACGUUGAGGAGCGAAAGCGUGGGUAGCAAACAGG
rnacentral:rRNA from 1 species